rnacentral:lncRNA from 1 species
CAGUUAACGUACUGAGUGGUGAGAUCUUCCAAUUCGGCCACAACUCUGUCCUUUUCCGGUAUAAGAUGUUGAUUUGACGCUUCUGGUUGGGGAAAGUAGGCUAGGGAGUUGGAGUUUCUCAGAUCUCCUUGGAGUACUCUAUAUCGACGAGCAAGAGACUCUAUCGGGUCCGGGUGGUUGAUGUAUCGAAUGGUUGCAUUGAGAGUCGCUUCAUCUUCGUCUGGAUUAGCAUCUAACACAGCUUGGGGAAAGUCUGCAAUCGCUAAGUUUCUCUCCAGUGGACGGACUUCAGCUAAGGUUUGAACCACUUCCUCUCUUUGGUCUUGGGUAGGAAGUGGGGUUUUUUCUUUCCAAACGUAUUGAAUGGGGGUUCUAAAUGCCUCAUCCCUAGCUCGGUAGGUUCUUUGGAUUGAUUGUUCCCUUUGAACAUAAGUCAGAUUGUUAUUGCCUCCAAUUGCUUCUUGCCUUUGCAGGGAUAGGGUUUGUAUCGGGUCUGCUUCAUGUCUUGGCUCUGACUCAUUGUAGACUCUGAGUGUUCUUUGGUCAUAGUGGCUCUUAUCAAAUCUCCUGGUCUCCAAAAGGUUUGGUUUAUCUGCAGAGGGUUCUCUCCUAUGGUUGUGAUGUUUUGGUGCUGUAGAGCCCGUUUCCAUUGAAGCUAUGUCCCUUGUUGUCCUUUCAUGAAAGCUUCUGCUAGAGGGUCUUUCUCCAAAGGGUCUGCCAUGUCUGCCAUGUCUGUCAAGCCUCUGAUGGAAAUCUUCACGUCUUGUGGCCUUACGGGCGAUAUCAGAUUGGUAGUCUCUUCUCCCCUGGGUAGAGAAACUCUGCUGUUGUUUCUCUUCGUUCCCACUGGUAAUUGCCCUCAGUUCACAGUCAGCUGCGCUAUCUUAUUAACUUUGUUUAGAUCUUUUUCUGUUUUUUUCUUAAAUAAGAUGCCUACUUAUAUAUAUAUAUAUUUCAACUAAAUUGACUUAGUAAAUAAUCAAUCCAACAAUUAAGCUGACUGUUUAAAUCUCCAAUUUGUGAUCACACGAAGGUUGCUUAAUAAUUGUUCGAAAAAUCUAGUCUUCUUAAU